UACGUAGGGGGCGAGCGUUGCCCGGAUUCACUGGGCGUAAAGGGUGCGCAGGCGGCCGUGUGUGUGAGGCGUGAAAGCCUGGAGCUUAACUCCAGAAUUGCACCUCAAACUACACGGCUAGAGCAUUGGAGAGGGUAGCGGAAUUCACGGUGUAGCAGUGAAAUGCGUAGAUAUCGUGAGGAACACCAGAGGCGAAGGCGGCUACCUGGACAAUUGCUGACGCUCAGGCACGAAAGCGUGGGGAGCAAAAGGG
rnacentral:rRNA from 1 species